rnacentral:miRNA from 1 species
AUCUUGUUAAAAGGCAGAAUCAGAUUCAGUAGGUCUGAGUUGGGGGGUGAGAUUCUGCAUUUCUAACAAGUUC